rnacentral:rRNA from 1 species
UACGUAGGGGGCAAGCGUUAUCCGGAUUUACUGGGUGUAAAGGGAGCGUAGACGGUUAUGCAAGUCAGAAGUGAAAGCCCAAAGCUCAACUUCGGGACUGCUUUUGAAACUGUGUAACUAGAGUGCAGGAGGGGUAAGCGGAAUUCCUAGUGUGGCGGUGAAAUGCGUAGAUAUUAGGAGGAACACCGGCGGCGAAGGCGGCUUACUGGACUGUAACUGACGCUGAGGCGCGAAAGCGUGGGGAGCAAACAGG